UUCGUACAUCUGGCCCCUCUCAUGGGACUUCUGAGAAACCUGGAAGAAUGUAUAAAUACUGGUCAGAGGUCUCAAUCAGCUCAAGCAAUAAAAAUGUGUGAAGGAGUCCUGUGUGGUGUAAAUGCCUUUUAUCCCAGCUCGUGGGAAUCUGAGGCAGGAAGAUCAAGAGUUCAAGGUUAGCCUGGGCUACAGAGGGAAAUUUUGUCUCAAAAAAAAAAAGUUCUAAGAAGGACACGAAGAUAAUUCUUCAAAUAGAGUGUGAUGCUGACUAAAAUGCACAGACUGAAAUCACCUGCCCUCGGUCCAAACAAGCUCCCAC